AUGAUUCCCUUUCGUCUUUUGAGCUCGUGUUUGCCUUGGUUUCGCCACAGAACAGUGCGUGAAACUCUGAUACAAAUUAAGUUGUACCACUACACAGGGGACACACUGAGCUACCGUGCGUCCGUAGCUUAUAGCUCGGAUACCGGGCGAGAUGGAGCUGGAAUCGAUGGUGGACACAACCAAGAUGACGGUAUCACCGUUCUUGACGGUGGAGAAGUGCUCGUCUGUGGACCGGAGCGGCGACACGGUGGUCGCAGACCUGGACGGCACGCUGCUGUGCCACCGGAGCUCUUUCCCGUACUUCGCGCACAUGGCUUUCGAGACCGGCGACCUACUCCGGCUCCUGUAGUCCUGUUGCUCCUCCUGCUGGCGCCACUCGCAGGGCUCCUCUACUUCUUCAUGUCCGAGUCGGCCGCCAUACAGGUGCUCAUCUUCGCGUCCAUGGCCGGCGCCAAGGUCGACGACGUCGAGGCCGUGGCGCGCGCCGUGCUACCCAAGUUCUUCUGUUCCGACCUCCACCCGGAGUCGUGGCGUGUGUUCUCCGCGUGCGGACGCCGGUUCGUGCUCACCGCGAACCCGAGGAUCAUGGUGGAAGCCUUCCUGAAGGAGUACAUCGGCGCCGACGUCGUGCUCGGCACGGAGCUCGUGGUCUGGGGCCGUAGGGCGACUGGCCUCGUCUGCUCCCCCGGCGUGCUCGUCGGCGAGAACAAGGCCGACGCGCUGCGUCAAGCGUUCGGUAACGCAACGCCGGAGAUUGGCCUCGGUGACAGCAAGUCAGACUACCCGUUCAUGCGGCUGUGCAAGGAGCGGUACUUGGUGCCCCAGACGCCGAAGAUGAAGCCCGUGCCGCGGGAGAACCUGCCGAAGACGGUGAUAUUUCACGAUGGCCGGAUCGUCCACCGGCCGUCGCCGGCGCUCGCGCUGCUCACCUUGCUCUGGUUUCCCAUCGGGCUCCUGCUCUCCUUCCUCCGUAUCGCCGCGGGCUCUCUCCUGCCGAUGCGCAUGGUGUACCACGCCUUCGCUGCGCUCGGCGUGCGCGUCACCGUCAAGGGCAACCCGCCACCACCAGUAUGCCUCGAGUCCGGCCAGACCGGCGUGCUCUUCGUCUGCUCCCAUCGCACUCUCCUCGACCCCAUCUUCCUUUCCACGGCCCUCGGCCGGCCGAUCACCGCCGUCACCUACUCCGUAUCACGGCUGUCGGAGAUGCUGUCGCCGAUCCGGACGGCGCGGCUGACCCGUGACCGCGCGGCCGACGCAGGUAUGAUCCGGCGCUUGCUCAAGGAGGGCGACCUUGUGAUCUGUCCCGAGGGCACGACAUGCCGGGAGCCAUUCCUGCUGCGUUUCUCGGCCUUGUUCGCGGAGCUGACAAACGAUAUCGUGCCGGUCGCGAUGGAGAACGAGAUGAGCAUGUUCCAUGGCACGACGGCGCGGGGGUGGAAGGGGCUGGACCCCUUCUACUUCUUCAUGAACCCAAGCCCAGGCUACGUGGUCACCUUCCUCGACAAGGUCCCACACGAGCUCACCUGCAAGGGCGGCAAGACCAGCCAUGAGGUGGCCAACUACAUCCAGAGACUCAUUGCCUCCACGCUCACGUAUGAGUGCACCAGCUUCACCAGGAAGGACAAGUACAGGGUGCUCGCCGGCAACGAUGGUUCCGUCGUGUCCAAGCCCAACAUACAAAAGAAGAAGCUCAUGGGUUCGCAAAGGGCAAGGCUCAAGGGACCAGAUAAAGGGUGUCGGGAUUAA
rnacentral:rRNA from 1 species